rnacentral:rRNA from 1 species
UAGUAACUGCGAGUGAAGCGGGACCGGCUCAAUGUGUGAAUCUGGCUUGGGGUAAACCCCUGUCCGAGUUGUGCACUAUGGACGUUUCGUCUGCGUAUGUAACGGCGGUGGAAGUCCGUUGAAACACGGCACCUCAGAGGGUCACAGUCCUGUACCACCUGCCUGCACUCGCGCCAAUGACAAGCGCUCCUCGAGUCGCGUAGUUUUGUAAUGCUGCGCCAAGUGGGAGGUAGAGACCUUCUAAGGCUAAAUAUGAUGACGUGACCGAUAGCACACAAGUACCGCGAGGGAAAGGUGAAAAGCAACCAUGAAAAAUGGGUUGAAACAGUAGUGAAAGCGCUACCGGGAUAAGGGCUAUCGGGUGCUGGGGCUCUUUGCCUCCGCUUCAGUGCUACCCUUGGAGACGGCCCGCGUGGGUUGAUGUUGGGGCGAUAGACGCGCCGUUGGAAUUCAGCUGUCUUCGGGCAGUGUUGUAGCCUUCGGUUGCCGAUCCUCCUGCGACCUUUUGUAAUUGCGGGUCUUGCGACCGUUAGCCGCCCGUCUUGAAACACGGACCAAGGAGUGCACCUUGCAUGCGAGUCGAAGGGAUUUGAAACCUGGAGGCGUAGCGAACGCGACGAUGGGGAAUGUCCUUGUGGCAGACACCCGCACCCGCCUUGUGCGAGGUAGAGCAUGUACGGUGCGACCCGAAAGAUGGUGAACUAUGCCCGGGUAAGGUGAAGCCAGUGGAAACGCUGGUGGAGGCCUGUAGCGAUUCUGACGUGCAAAUCGAUCGCGUAACCUGGGUAUAGGGGCGAAAGACCUAUCGAACCGUCUAAU